UACGAAGGGGGCUAGCGUUGUUCGGAAUUAUUGGGCGUAAAGGGCUCGUAGGCGGACCGGUGUGUCUGGCGUGAAAUCUCCACUGCUUAACAGGGAGGGGCCGCUGGAAACUGCCGAUCUUGAGUAUGGUAGAGGACCAUGGAAUUCCGGGUGUAGCGGUGGAAUGCGUAGAUAUCCGGAAGAACACCGGUGGCGAAGGCGGUGGUCUGGACCAAAACUGACGCUGAGGAGCGAAAGCCAGGGGAGCAAACGGG
rnacentral:rRNA from 1 species